rnacentral:rRNA from 11 species
GUGGUAGUAGUACAUACCUAAAGGCACCAGAUACUGUCUGAUCAUGGAAGCUAAUGAGAAUCAGCCUCUGUUAGUACCUGGAUAGGAGACUGCCAAUGAAUGACAAGAAACUAACCACA